GAUCCUGGCUCAGGAUGAACGCUAGCUACAGGCUUAACACAUGCAAGUCGAGGGGAAACGAUAGAGAAAGCUUGCUUUUUCUAGGCGUCGACCGGCGCACGGGUGAGUAACGCGUAUCCAACCUGCCCACCACUUGGGGAUAACCUUGCGAAAGUAAGACUAAUACCCAAUGAUAUCUCUAGAAGACAUCUGAAGGAGAUUAAAGAUUCAUCGGUGAUGGAUGGGGAUGCGU
rnacentral:rRNA from 1 species